rnacentral:rRNA from 1 species
AUUGAACGCUGGCGGCAGGCUUAACACAUGCAAGUCGAGCGGGGUGAUGGUGCUUGCACUAUCACUUAGCGGCGGACGGGUGAAUAAUGCUUAGGAAUCUGCCUAUUAGUGGGGGACAACAUCUCGAAAGGGAUGCUAAUACCGCAUACGUCCUACGGGAGAAAGCAGGGGAUCACUUGUGACCUUGCGCUAAUAGAUGAGCCUAAGUCGGAUUAGCUAGUUGGUGUGGUAAAGGCCUACCAAGGCGACGAUCUGUAGCGGGUCUGAGAGGAUGAUCCGCCACACUGAGACUGAGACACGGCCCAGACUCCUACGGGAGGCAGCAGUGGGGAAUAUUGGACAAUGGGGGGAACCCUGAUCCAGCCAUGCCGCGUGUGUGAAGAAGGCCUUAUGGUUGUAAAGCACUUUAAGCGAGGAGGAGGCUCUUUUGGUUAAUACCCAAGAUGAGUGGACGUUACUCGCAGAAUAAGCACCGGCUAACUCUGUGCCAGCCGCCGCAGUAA